UACAGAGGGUGCAAGCGUUGCUCGGAAUUAUUGGGCGUAAAGGGUAGGUAGGUGGUCUCAUUUGUCUGGGGUGAAAUCCUUGGGCUUAACUCAAGAAGUGCCCCAGAAACGGUGAGACUGGAGUCCUGGAGAGGGUCGUGGAAUUCCCGGUGUAGCGGUGAAAUGCGUAGAGAUCGGGAGGAGCACCAGAGGCGAAGGCGGCGACCUGGACAGGUACUGACACUCAACUACGAAAGCGUGGGGAGCAAACAGG
rnacentral:rRNA from 1 species